AGGGCGGGACACGUGAUAUCCUGUCUGAAUAUGGGGGGACCAUCCUCCAAGGCUAAAUACUACUGACUGACCGAUAGUGAACCAGUACCGUGAGGGAAAGGCGAAAAGAACCCCUGUGAGGGGAGUGAAAUAGAACCUGAAACCGUGUACGUACAAGCAGUAGGAGCAGGCUUUGUCCUGUGACUGCGUACCUUUUGUAUAAUGGGUCAGCGACUUAUAUUCAGUGGCAAGGUUAACCAUCUAGGGGAGCCGUAGGGAAACCGAGUCUUAACUGGGCGUUCAGUCUCUGGAUAUAGACCCGAAACCAGGUGAUCUAGCCAUGGGCAGGUUGAAGGUUGAGUAACAUCAACUGGAGGACCGAACCGACUAAUGUUGAAAAAUUAGCGGAUGACUUGUGGCUAGGGGUGAAAGGCCAAUCAAACCUGGAGAUAGCUGGUUCUCCCCGAAAGCUAUUUAGGUAGCGCCUCGGACGAAUACUACUGGGGGUAGAGCACUGUUAAGGCUAGGGGGUCAUCCCGACUUACCAACCCUUUGCAAACUCCGAAUACCAGUAAGUACUAUCCGGGAGACACACGGCGGGUGCUAACGUCCGUCGUGGAGAGGGAAACAACCCAGACCGCCAGCUAAGGUCCCAAAUUACUACUAAGUGGGAAACGAUGUGGGAAGGCUCAGACAGCCAGGAUGUUGGCUUAGAAGCAGCCAUCAUUUAAAGAAAGCGUAAUAGCUCACUGGUCGAGUCGGCCUGCGCGGAAGAUGUAACGGGGCUAAGUAGUAAACCGAAGCUGCGGCAAUGUGCUUUUGCACAUUGGGUAGGGGAGCGUUCUGUAAGCGGUUGAAGGUGUGUGGUAACGCAUGCUGGACGUAUCAGAAGUGCGAAUGCUGACAUGAGUAACGAUAAAGGGGGUGAAAAACCUCCUCGCCGGAAGACCAAGGGUUCCUGUCCAACGUUAAUCGGGGCAGGGUAAGUCGACCCCUAAGGCGAGGCCGAAAGGCGUAGUCGAUGGGAAACGGGUUAAUAUUCCCGUACUUCUUACAAUUGCGAUGGGGGGACGGAGAAGGCUAGGUGGGCCUGGCGACGGUUGUCCAGGUUCAAGUGCGUAGGCUUAAGAGUUAGGUAAAUCCGGCUCUUUUUAAGGCUGAGACACGACGUCGAGCACCUACGGGUGUGAAGUCAUUGAUGCCAUGCUUCCAGGAAAAGCCUCUAAGCUUCAGAUUGUAAGGAAUCGUACCCCAAACCGACACAGGUGGUCGGGUAGAGAAUACCAAGGCGCUUGAGAGAACUCGGGUGAAGGAACUAGGCAAAAUGGUACCGUAACUUCGGGAGAAGGUACGCUCUUGAUGGUGAAGUCCCUUGCGGAUGGAGCUGACGAGAGUCGCAGAUACCAGGUGGCUGCAACUGUUUAUUAAAAACACAGCACUGUGCAAAAUCGUAAGAUGACGUAUACGGUGUGACGCCUGCCCGGUGCCGGAAGGUUAAUUGAUGGGGUUAGACUUCGGUCGAAGCUCUUGAUCGAAGCCCCGGUAAACGGCGGCCGUAACUAUAACGGUCCUAAGGUAGCGAAAUUCCUUGUCGGGUAAGUUCCGACCUGCACGAAUGGCGUAAUGAUGGCCACGCUGUCUCCACCCGAGACUCAGUGAAAUUGAAAUCGCUGUGAAGAUGCAGUGUACCCGCGGCUAGACGGAAAGACCCCGUGAACCUUUACUACAGCUUGGCACUGAACAUUGACCCUACAUGUGUAGGAUAGGUGGGAGGCUUUGAAGCACGUACGCCAGUAU
rnacentral:rRNA from 1 species